rnacentral:rRNA from 1 species
GUGGGGAAUAUUGGGCAAUGGGCGAAAGCCUGACCCAGCAACGCCGCGUGAGGGAAGAAGGCCUUCGGGUUGUAAACCUCUGUCCUUGGUGACGAAAAAAAUGACGGUAGCCAAGGAGGAAGCCCCGGCUAACUACGUGCCAGCAGCCGCGGUAAUACGUAGGGGGCGAGCGUUGUCCGGAAUUACUGGGCGUAAAGGGUGCGUAGGUGGCCUUUUAAGUUGGAUGUGAAAUACCCGGGCUUAACUUGGGGGGUGCAUCUAAUACUGGAGGGCUAGAGUGCAGGAGAGUGAAGCGGAAUUCCUAGUGUAGCGGUGAAAUGCGUAGAUAUUAGGAGGAACACCAGUGGCGAAGGCGGCUUUCUGGACUGUAACUGACACUGAGGCACGAAAGCGUGGGGAGCAAACAGGAUUAGAUACCCCAGUAGUCC